AUGCGGGAGGCAGCGAGCGCGGCGGCCGCAGCUCGAUGGCGGAGGCAGAGAGCACGGCAGCCGCAGCUUGCCGGAGGCGAUGGCCAGUGCGUCCGCACGCAGAGAGGCGGGGUCGAGGCGGGGCGUAGGGAGGCGGAGGGUGUCGAGCGAGGCGACCGGGGCAGCAGCGUCGGGGCCGCCUCGUGGGUGGUGCUCACCCGAGGCGGCGGCGGCGGCGUUGCGGCCGGUGGAGAGGGCGAGGGAGAGAGGGAGGGGGAGGGGCAGGGGCCGGUGGGCCGCCUGCCCAGCUGGGCCGGCCCACCAGCGGCCAGUUUAGGUUUUUUUUAUUUUUUAUUUUUCUCAUAUGAUGUAUAAAUGUAUUAUUAAUGAUGUAUUAUUAAAUGUAUAUGAUGUAUUCUAAAUAAAUGUAUGUGAUGUAUUAUUAAAUAUUAAUUGUCCUAAAUAAUUAUUAAUUAUUCAUUGUCCUAAAUAAUUAUUAAUUAUUAAUGGUCUUAAAUAAAUUUAUUUGAUGUUUUAUUUUUCUUAUAAAAACUAAUUGUCCUAAAUAAUUAUUAAUUGUUCUAAAUAAAUGUAUAUGAUGUAUUAUUAAUUAUUAAUUGUCCUAAAUAAUUAUUAAUUAUUCUAAGUAAAUGUAUAUGAUGUAUUAUUAAAUAUUAAUUGUCCUAAAUAAUUAUUAAUUAUUCAUUGUCCUAAAUAAUUAUUAAUUAUUAAUGGUCUUAAAUAAAUCUAUUUGAUGUUUUAUUUUUCUUAUAAAUAUUAAUUGUCCUAAAUAAUUAUUAAUUGUUCUAAAUAAAUGU
rnacentral:lncRNA from 1 species